CGGCACCGAAAUAUUAAACAAUAUGGUCGCACUUUGGGACCUCAAGUGGAGCUGGAUGGGUCCAUCCUGUCGCUGGGACAUGAAAUAUUUGGGUACCGGCUGAUGCGAAAGGAGACGGGAACAUCUGAACCGCAUUCCUGGACUUUUACCAUCAGUUCAACUUCAUUACCUGGGUGAAGGUGCCAACAACUAUGUGUAGAUGGGGGAGAAGAGACGUCCUGCAUAGACCAGCGUGCAUGGUGUCCUACCAUGCAACGACAGAACAGCAAACCUGGGAAUCUUCACGCCUAAUAUAUAAUUUCAACCACUACACGCUAUUUCACAAAGAGUGAACAUGAAUUACAACACAGAAUGAAAAUACCAAUGGAUGUUCUUUUUAAAAUGCGUCCCCAAAAGAGCUGGUUGCCCGUUUUGUGCUACCAUGAAAAAAUAAAGGUUUCUUUGGUCAAGAAUCAGAUAAAAGGGGUAAUUCCCAAAGGCAAAGAGUUCAUCAACUCUCAGUUGGAAUAAUGAGAGCUCCCAUUUACUUUUGGAAGUCUGGUAUUUCAAAAUGGGAGCGGAAAUGUUGCUCUGCCCACUCAUGCAAGUCAAGCAGCUCCUUUUGGUGCCCGUCUGUAUCUCUUCUGAGAUUUGCCAGCAGGAGAUGCCGUUGUGACGAACAACUAUUUCUUCCCUUGAGAGACUGUGGGAAGAAAAAGGGGUUCAGGAAAUUUGAGCUGUACAAUGGCUGAAGGACCGCGCGGCUCAUCUUCUACAGGACUUUCAGACCUUUGAAUGACAAGUGUCGAAUCUCAGUAUCCACAACACACUUCAGGCAUCAUCCAAAACGCUCUGAACAAGCUAAAAAACCCCAACCAGUGCCUUCUGGUUUCAGAAAUGCUUGGUGAGAAUGCUUCUGAGCAGGUAGAAAACGCUACAAGAGGUCGGCUGGCUGAGGAACGCUUGAUCAAUGCUGAGCAAACCACUGCCAAACCUGCUUGGAACUUCUCAAAGGCAGGCAGGCUCUUUUCAUUUUCGCUUAUUUUUUUUUUAUAUGUAAGUAGUUCCAAAUAUUCUUAUGUGGAUGACAUUUUUUAAAUGCAAAAGCAUUUAAAAUAACAGAAAACAGAUCAAGUUCUGAAGCGCCAGCGGUUUCUCGUUUGCGCAGCCACACACUAACGUCUCCAGCUUUCCAGCGACUUUUCACACACGCAGAAACUUUUCCUUAUCACAAAUAAGACAUAAACCGCAGGAAAAAACCAUAUAUGGUGCGAUGCGAAGGAGCUAAGAAUUCCGGUAUUGUUAAAGUUGCAUAAAUGUUGAUUUAGUUUCAGGAUCUGAGAAGGAGGCAGAAAUAAGCUCGUCCUCUGCAGAGGCAGGUUUUGCAAACAGCAAGUUCAGGAGGGAGCAGGGACAUCAGCCUUCUCUCACACCACAAAGUCUGGACUAUUAGAGACGGGCACUAGCAAACGAGUCCCCAGUUAUGCCAAACCUGACCUGCAAAUGCACAUUUCAUACAGCUCAGGAUGGAUGGGAGACCUGGGAGAGAAUAGUAGAAAAGAAAAAGCAGCAUGUAAACACUUCAGGCAAGUAGAAAUGUUAAGAGAGAUGACAAAGACCUCAUUGUGUUUUUUGCCCAUCGAUCACGUUAUCGUGUGUCCUCCUUGCUUUUCGGAUUUGCACAAGUGUAAGCAGAAGUGAUGUGUUAUUCUCUUAGGAGGAAGAAAAGAACACACCAAGUGUGAGUCACUCACUGGCGCAGAGCGCGAAGCCGUGGUCAAAGUGUUUCCAGGUGUGAAGACAAUUAACAUCCACUGAUACGAUUCCAACUGUUAUAUAGUCUUUGGUAACUGCUGAAUUACAAGUGCAAAACUGUAAGGACACAAAUUAUAAUAAUAUUGGUAAGAAAAACAUAAGAAAUUUAGAUUAUUUGGAAUAUUGAGAAAAGCAAAGCUUUUUUUCUGAAGCCAGAUAGAACCUCUUCAUUCCCCCUGCAGAGCUCUGACUUGGUCCAACCGUGCAGGUAUUCCUGCUGCUAUCUAACAUUUGGUAGCCUGAAUUUUUAUUUAUCCAGCUUCAUUCUGCCACUCCGAAGCUUCUCGGUAAGCAAACAAACUCACUUUUCAUGUUUAGUUUUCUCGUGUUUGUACUUUCACCCUCUCUUACACAACAAACUUGGAAGAGAGCAGCAGCAGGGAGGGCUGGCGUGUGUGCAAGGACCCGACGCUCGCCUGCAGCAUCAUCCCCCAUGAAGAAGCAUCAUCCCCCAUGAAGAAGCAUCAUCCCCCAUGAAGAAGCAUCAUCCCCCAUGAAGAAGCAUCUUCCUGCGUCUCCCCAGUUUAGACGUUGGUGGUGGAAGGGUGGACGCUGGGUGAGAAGCGAGUCACCUGGCAAGAGGAAUGAAAGGGCCAAGGUACCACAUCUGGGUACCCACAGCAGUCCCUGAGCAGCCAAGGAGAAAAUACAAAGGAAAACGUUACAGCACUUGAAGCUUUAAUGUAUUUUUUUAUGGUUCUAAUGCUAGCACAACCUUUUAUUGAAAUUAAAAUGUUGCACCCCUGAGACAGUGACUCUCAGGGCCGGGAUGGGCUCUGGACUAGCACCGCUGCCUGUUUGGCAAGAGGGUGCAUGCUGCGCUUUCCUAAACCACCGUGUACCCACCUGAAGCUUCGGUGCUGACGUGUCCUCACUUACUAUAUCCCAGGAAAAUGGGCUAUUUUGUUUUCUCCUGCACUGGUUCUAGAAGGACUUGGAUUCAUUGGUGUUAGUUUCACAAAUGACCUGAUUAUUUUUCAGGACACGAUCGAGGGAUGCUCUCCUCCCUCCCCACGCUGCGUUAUUCCUUUGCGUUGUCCUAAACUGUUGAGAGAGCAAACCCCAGCGCAAAACUGAGCUGUGACUUUACGGCAGAUCUGAAAAAAGGAAGCGAAUGCUGCAUUGCAUGUUUUGUCUUCUAAAGCCAACACAGACAGGUCUGAAACCCAUGAUCUCAUGCCACGCUGGGCCAGGAAAAUGGCAUAUUCAGGGCAUAAGUUUCCAGCACAAAAAUACUCGUGAGGUGAUCUGAUGUGACUCUGUUCACCUGCCAACAGUCCUGGCAGAAAAAUAAACAGGUUCUGGAGAUGAGCUGCUGCUGGAGGCAAAGCAGGAACCAUGGAAAGAGCUGCCCUGACCUGUGAGGAACUGGUCUUUUUGCUUUGAACUCGAGCGGUUCUUAAUGAAUUCUUCAUAAUUGGCAAUCUGGGGUUUUCACUGAGGAUAUGUUUCUCUUGGAGUGCCAAAUGUAGGAGACAUAUUCCACAUUAGAAAUACAAAUUUUGGGUCUCCUAGGUGGCUGGCCAAGCUGGUGAAGGCAGUUCCAACAGGUUUAUUCACCACUACUGCAGAUAACUGUCUUGUAUCGGGGAUUAGAGUCGUACAUGAAUACGAAUCAGUGCUGACGGAUUUGCUUUCACAACCAUUAACAUAUUGACUUAAUUGAAGUUAUUGACUUCAGUGCUGUGAAAGUUUGAACUAAAAAUAAGCAGAGACAGUUUUAGUAACAGAAGAAGUUAAGAAGUGGUUGUGUCAGAGGAGCGAGGCUUUUGUUGUGCUUGACUAAUCUCUGCUUUACUGCUCCUCCAGUCCUCUGUUAUCUGGCGGUUUCAAAGGGGACGCUGCCAAGACGCUAAUUUAGAGUCCUAAAUUUUAUCCUGCAGGCAACUCUUACUUCAGUUUCCUGAGAAUAAAUUUAACAGGCAGACCCCUGAAGAAGAAAACAGGUGAACCCUUUUUGCUCCAUGAAACAGUCUCCUCGCUGGAGACCCUCAGGCUUUCUCAAGUGGCCCAAGAUACAAAACUAUUGAUGUCUGCACAGAAGAGCUUAAGAAAAAGCUUCAGCCUUGAGGUUCACAGUCUUCUUCAUGCAUGUUUUCAAGGGUCAACAAGUAAAAUAUUUACUAUAUCAAAUCCUGUUCACCAAUGGAGAAAAUCAGGAGCGUAGAUGGUGCAUGAAGCAUUCCCGGGGAAAGCAUCCCAAACGCCAACGCAAGAUGGAAUAUGCACAGUAAGUGCAGAAUCCACGUGCAAAAGGUUCAAAGUACAAUGUAUAUUUUCAAUAAAACUAACGUCGUUCUUCACCUUCUUACAUACACAUGUACUAUAUGAGCACACAGAGACAGUUUCCUCAAGCUGCAAGGCAAGCUGUAUUGGGCCUGACUGAAAAUGUUUACCAUACAAACUUAAAUGAGAAAAGGAUCAAAGUACGAUAUACAGGAAUAGAUAUUUUUCUGUUUCUGGACUCUAGUGCUGCUUUGGCUGCCAAUAGCACACAGAAUUUCCACUGAAGGGCAAGUCAAACCAAUUUCCCUUCGGAUGGAGGCAUCCAAAAACUUACUGAGGUUAUUAUAUUAGCGCCUACGCAUUCUUUAAGCAGAUGAACUGCUUCAUUUUGAAUGCGCGUCAAACCACAAGAACCGGCUGAUAAUAACAUUCAAUUAAAACGAUCUCGUUCUUCUAGAAGAAAAAAUUGGCUAACAGCUACAUCUCCUAUUUUCUAGCUGGGCACAAUAGGGCGAUUGACGCUAGAAGGAAACAGGAUCAGUUUGUACCGCGGAUCCGAAGGGUCGGGUUUGGUGACGGCGUUUGGAGGUUUAACCUCUUACACAAAUCUACGAGAUGAAGAAGCCGCUUCUGCCGAGCACGGAACUGUGAGAAAGUCCGAGCUAGAACUCGCAACCAUACAACUUGUGCUAAUUAGGCAGAUGUUUUGAACGAGCCGAACUUCGCGCUCGACGCGUAUUUGUAUCUUUUGAUGUACUUGGUGCUGCUUCCCAGCGCUCAGGGCUUCCCGAGAAGAGCAGGAGCUGCUCCCUGCCAGGCUGCUGGCUGAGUUUGCCAUCUGAUCUACUCAAUGCACAGAUAAAAGCCACCGCAGACUUCUUAUUUUUCUUCCCUUUUCAAGUACAGUACUGUAACUUGGAAAGCUCCUUUAUUCUCAGCUUCACUGAUGCAAGAAAGUGGCAGAAAUACGGCAGCUUUGGCUGCUUUCCUUUAGUAGCGCUUUGUAACUAAUCCUUUAAUGCUAAGGAAGCAAUAAGUAUUUUCAUUUUGUAUGGAAAAAAACCACUCUAGUUAUAGAAAAUAAAGGCGAUGACUUAUGAAAACUAA